AUUGUAGAUAAAUUUUAAAAUCUUUUUUUCUGAUUUCUUUUAUUUUGGAUUUCGUGGAAAUUAAAAUUCCACCUAAGGAUGUAAUUUUUGUGGCAUAUGGCGAUGCUUUUUCCAACUCAUCAACCAUUUUUUCACCAAUUGUUCUCAACGGAGACAAAUUGUUGACAACCUUAAUAAAUCGCGAAUCAACAGCAUGGUUGGAUUCAAUGAAAUGGGGAUGUUACGCUCGAAUGUUUCCUACAACACCUGGCCGUAACCGGGGAAACAAUUGGAUACAAAAUGCGAACAAUGAAAUAUCAUUUAAAGAAUAUGACGAAGAAAUCGCCAUGGAAGAUUGAUAAACGCUUACGCUUACACCCAAAAAUCUAAAUAUAAACUGGCAAAUGCAAAUCAAUCUGAUUCAAUAAAAAAUCAAUCGCCAAACUGGACGUCAACGACCCCAAUUACGGCCGGU